rnacentral:rRNA from 1 species
CUCUUCGGGGAUGAUUAAACCGGCGCACGGGUGAGUAACACGUGAGUGACCUGCCUUUUAGACUGGAACAACUUACCGAAAGGUGAGCUAAUGCCGGAUGAGUUAUAUAAGUGCAUGUUUAUAUAGGAAAAGUUGGGGAGACCUGACGCUGAAAGAUGGACUCGCGUCCCAUUAGCUAGUUGGUAGGGUAAUGGCCUACCAAGGCGACGAUGGGUAGCCGGCCUGAGAGGGUGGCCGGCCACACUGGGACUGAGACACGGCCCAGACUCCUACGGGAGGCAGCAGUGGGGAAUUUUGCGCAAUGCUCGUAAGAGUGACGCAGCGACGCCGCGUGAAUGACGAAGGCCUUCGGGUCGUAAAGUUCUUUCGACAGGGAAGAAAAUGCCUAUAAGUAACUGUGUAUGUAUUGACGGUACCUGUAUAAGCAGCCCCGGCUAACUCCGUGCCAGCAGCCGCGGUAAUACGGAGGGGGCGAGCGUUGUUCGGAGUGACUGGGCGUAAAGAGCACGUAGGCGGUGUUGUAAGUCAUUAGUCAAAGACUAGAGCUCAACUUUAGUAAGGCUAGUGAUACUAUAAUACUAGAGUAUCAGAGAGGAUUGCAGAAUUCCUGGUGUAGCGGUGAAAUGCGUAGAUAUCAGGAGGAAUACCGUUAGCGAAGGCGGCAAUCUGGCUGGAAACUGACGCUGAGGUGCGAAAGCGUGGGUAGCAAACAGGAUUAGAUACCCUGGUAGUCCACGCUGUAAACGAUGGAUGCUAGGUGUUGGGCUUUUAAGUUCAGUGCCGCAGCAAACGCGAUAAGCAUCCCGCCUGGGGCGUACGUUUG